AGAGAGAGAGAGAGAGAGAAGGACAGGUGGUGGUUUUGUUUUGAGUCGGAGUCGAGAGGAAGAGGAGCUGGUUGUUGGAAUGAAAUUUAAAAAUGAAAUACGGAGGUUUAAAGUAACGGCACGUCGUUUGAUUCCGGCUUGAGGCUUGGCUGAUGCGAGUUUCGCGGAAGAGGAUUGUGUCUGCUGAGUGGAAAGUGGAUGGACCCAGUCAUUGGUAGUUCUAAAAGCGAAAAUGCGGUGACAUAACCGAUUGUUCGUGGCCACCCGGUAUCUCGGUAACGUGUCGACGGGUUUCGAGCAGAUAAUGGUUUUGGCGGCGCGGUAAACAGUAAUUAUUUGGUCAACUGUUUGUUGGAUAAACCACCAUAUGCACACAUCCCCUGUUGUACCUGACAAGAGGGACCGCUUUAACAAAUUUAAGGCUCUUUAAUUAUCAUUCGAUUUCAUUUUCUCUCCCUUAUAGUUCACAUGACAAAAAAUAAUUUUAUUAAUUUUAUUUUUU
rnacentral:misc_RNA from 1 species